AGUGAACGCUGGCGGUAGGCCUAACACAUGCAAGUCGAACGGCAGCACAGUAAGCUCUUGCUCUUACGGGUGGCGACUGGCGGACGGGUGAGGCAUACAUCGGCAUCUACUUUUUCGGGGGGGAUAACGUAAGGAAACUUACGCUAAUACCGCAUACGACCUACGGGUGAAAGCAGGGGAGCUUCGUACCUUUCGCGACUCUAAUAGCCGAUGUCGGAUUAGCUAGUUGGCGGGGUAAAGGCCCACCAAGGCGACGAUCCGUAGCCGGUCUGAGAGGAUGAUCAGCCACACUGGAACUGAGACACGGUCCAGACUCCUACGGGAGGCAGCAGUGGGGAAUAUUGGACAAUGGGCGAAAGCCUGAUGCAGCAAUACCGCGUGGGUGAAGAAGGCCUUCGGGUUGUAAAACCCUUUUGUUGGGAAAGAAAAGCAGCAGGUUAAUACCUCGCUGUUUUGACGGUACCCAAAGAAUAAGCACCGGCUAACUUCGUG
rnacentral:rRNA from 1 species